rnacentral:rRNA from 1 species
GACGAACGCUGGCGGCGUGCUUAACACAUGCAAGUCGAACGGAAAGUGCUCUUCGGAGUGACUCGAGUGGCGAACGGGUGAGUAACACGUGGGUGAUCUGCCCUGCACUUUGGGAUAAGCCUGGGAAACUGGGUCUAAUACCGAAUAGGACCACGCGCUUCAUGGUGUGUGGUGGAAAGCUUUUGCGGUGUGGGAUGGGCCCGCGGCCUAUCAGCUUGGUGGUGGGGUAAUGGCCUACCAAGGCGACGACGGGUAGCCGGCCUGAGAGGGUGACCGGCCACACUGGGACUGAGAUACGGCCCAGACUCCUACGGGAGGCAGCAGUGGGGAAUAUUGCACAAUGGGCGCAAGCCUGAUGCAGCGACGCCGCGUGAGGGAUGACGGCCUUCGGGUUGUAAACCUCUUUCAGUAGGGACGAAGCGCAAGUGACGGUACCUAUAGAAGAAGGACCGGCCAACUACGUGCCAGCCGCCGCCGUAA